AGAGUUUGAUCAUGGCUCAGAAUGAACGCUGGCGGCGUGCUUAACACAUGCAAGUCGAACGAGAAAGGGAUUGCUUGCAAUCCUGAGUAGAGUGGCGCACGGGUGAGUAACACGUAGAUAAUCUACCUUCGAUUUUGGGAUAACCAUCCGAAAGGGUGGCUAAUACCGGAUAAGGUUUUAAUACGCAAGUAUAAGAAUGAAAGUAUGCCUCUUCCUGAAAGCAUAUGAUUGGAGAUGAGUCUGCGGACCAUUAGCUUGUUGGUAGGGUAAAGGCCUACCAAGGCUACGAUGGUUAGCUGGUCUGAGAGGAUGAUCAGUCACACUGGAACUGGAACACGGUCCAGACUCCUACGGGAGGCAGCAGUGAGGAAUUUUGCGCAAUGGGGUAACCCCUGACGCAGCAACGCCGCGUGAGUGAAGAAGGCCUUUGGGUCGUAAAGCUCUGUCAACUGGGAAGAAGUUACAACGAUCUAAUAGGUAGUUGUAUUGACGGUACCAGUGGAGGAAGCGCCGGCUAACUCCGUGCCAGCAGCCGCGGUAAUACGGGGGGCGCAAGCGUUAUUCGGAAUUAUUGGGCGUAAAGGGCGUGUAGGCGGUCUUAUCGGUCAGAUGUGAAAGCCCAGGGCUCAACCCUGGACGUGCAUUUGAAACAGUAAGACUUGAGUACUGGAGAGGAAAGCGGAAUUCCUGGUGUAGAGGUG
rnacentral:rRNA from 1 species